UUUUAUAUAGUUUAAAUAAAACAUUACAUUUUCACUGUAAAAAUAAAAUUAAAUUUUUAUAAAUA
rnacentral:tRNA from 1 species